rnacentral:rRNA from 1 species
UACGUAGGGGGCAAGCGUUGUCCGGAUUUAUUGGGCGUAAAGAGCGUGUAGGCGGUUUGGUAGGUCCGCUGUGAAAACUCGAGGCUCAACCUCGAGACGCCGGUGGAAACCAUCAGACUAGAGUCCGGAAGAGGAGAGUGGAAUUCCUGGUGUAGCGGUGAAAUGCGCAGAUAUCAGGAAGAACACCCGUGGCUAAGGCGGCCUACUGGGCCAGCACUGACGCUGAGGCGCGAAAGCUCGGGGAGCGAACGGG